rnacentral:rRNA from 1 species
UACGGAGGGUGCGAACGUUGCUCGGAAUCAUUGGGCGUAAAGCGCACGUAGGCUGCGAGGAAGUUGGGUGUGAAAGCCCUGGGCUCAACCCAGGAAGUGCAUUCAAAACUACCUUGCUUGAAUCUCGGAGGGGUCAGAGAAUUCCCGGUGUAGAGGUGAAAUUCGUAGAUAUCGGGAGGAAUACCGGUGGCGAAGGCGGCUACCUGGACAGAAACUGACGCUGAGGCGCGAAAGCCAGGGGAGCAAACGGG